rnacentral:rRNA from 1 species
AUUGAACGCUGGCGGCAGGCCUAACACAUGCAAGUCGAACGAGAGGCGGACGGGAGAGUAAUGACUGGGAAACGGACUGAUGGAGGGGGUUAACUACUGGGAACGGUAACCACAACCGUACACCAUAAGAUGGGCCGAGAUGGGAUUGGCUUGUUGGUGGGGUAACGGCCCACCAAGGUGACGAUCCCUAGCUGGUCUGAGAGGAUGACCAGCCACACUGGAACUGAGACACGGUCCAGACUCCUACGGGAGGCAGCAGUGGGGAAUAUUGGACAAUGGGCGAAAGCCUGAUGCAGCCAUGCCGCGUGUAUGAAGAAGGCCUUCGGGUUGUAAAGUACUUUCAGCGGGGAGGCGUUACCCGCAGAAGAAGCACCGGCUAACUCCGUGCCAGCAGCCGCGGUAAUUC